AAUAAACCCCAAAAGGCCACAGACCCAGGGCUAAGCCCUACAGCCAAGACUAGCAGGCCAUAAAGAUAAAGGAGCACAGGAAACACUGUUCAGGCAGGACUGACAAGCCAUAAAGAAAAGGAAUGCAGGAUCCAGCUCAGGCUAUCGAGGACUGAGCCAUAAACCAUCCACAGACAUCCCCCCAGCUUACUCAGAGUCAUACUUUAACCAGAUGUCCUCCAGACCCUGAUAAGCCCCUACUUGUGCUUUUCAGCCAUUGUGUCCUACAGAGAGCAUUCCAGGAAACCGGACAGUCCAAGCCUAACCAGAGGUGUUUCAAAUACAAAUGCUCCAUCAGUUUUGACAAACGUUUAAAAAUAAUGAGGACCUGAAGACCCUACCCUUCUCCUGAUUUAGUAGCUCUGUUCCAGGAACCAGGGGGCCAUAAAACCUUCUGGCGUCCCCUUAUCUCCUGGAGCCAUAAAACAAUCCUGUAACUUGUGGUACAUUCCCCUUUGACAUCCCCCAUCCCCUGGUGCUCACAGCCUCUGCCUUUAAAUACUCUUUUUCCCAGCCUCUCGGGGUCGACACCUCUGUCUCCUGCGCGGGAUACGUGUCGGCCCGGAGAUCUCUGUAAUAGGUCUCCGUAAUAAACCUCACCUUUGCUUAUUACAUCCAAAAUGGUCUCUCUGUGUCUGGGGUCCGCGAUUUCCCAAGACUUGAGUAAGGGUCUCUCUGCGUGGGAUCUUUCAUAUUUAUGGGGGCUCGUCCGGGAUCUUCGCGACCACCCCAGACUCCGAAGACCCCUUGGAGGUGAGUUAGAUGUUUGUCUGAGUGUUUCUGUGUGAGCGGCGCCGCAUUUGUCAGUCUGUGUCUGUCUCUGUUUUGGUUCCACCGUGUGUGUGUGUGUGUGUAUAUGUGUGUCUUAAUACUGGUCAGUGUUAAGAGGACAGAUGGGUAUUCCUGCCCUGUGGUAAGAGGGCAGAUGUGUGUUCCUGCCUUGUGCUGAGAGGGUGGAUGUGUAUUCCUGCCCUGUGCUAGGAGGGUGGAUGUGUAUUCCUGCCCUGUAGGAGAGUGGAUGUGUAACCCCACUCAGUGCAGCUGCCUUUGUGGUCCGUGAGGACCCCCUGGCUGCGGAAGGGGGGAUGCCCCGGGCCCGCAAGGCUGCAGCCCCUGGAAGACGUUCCACGGGCGGAGAACAGUCGGGAGAGCCCGGCUAUGGACAGUCAGGAAGACCUGACUCUGGUUUUCUGGAACAAAGGAGAUGGAAUGCUCCUUUUACCUAGGCGGGAGUGGACGAGGAAUCCCACUCCGUCAGAGGUCGAGUUCGGCUGCCUAUUUAAAUAUAGGCACGGACAAGUGUGCUUAGUCGUUAGGACAAGAGGACACUCUGGAAUCCUGUUGGGAGGUGGAAUCAGAUGGUCCAUCUCAUCCCAAAAGCAGCUAAGGUUAAGCUGCAGUUUGGGCCACGUACUGAAGGUACCAGGCAUCUGUGAAAGUUGGUUAUAAGAUGCUUUGUCUUGAUAUUGUUUGUCUGGCUUGUUUUCUGUGGUAUUGUCGAGUGUCUUUUUGGCUUUUGUUUCGUUUUUGAAUUUUGGACUGACGACUGUGUUUGAAUUUGGACUGAUGACUGUGUUUAAAAUCUUGGACUGACGACUGUGUUUGAAAUCAUGAAACUGUUUGCUUUGUUCGUCAUAGAGUUUUACUUGGUCCUCUUGGUGCUUAAGUUAAGAGUUAAAAAUAAUUUGCUUGAGAAAAAUUGUUUUCUGCCAGGGAGUUUUGUCUUUCUCUCUUGAGCCUCCUCCCCAAGGAGAGAUGCCCCUCCCUUUACUCCCCUUGAUCAGCCUAGCUGCUGUUAACAGUUGUGUAAACAGACAUUAACAAAAACCUUUAGGACAAAACCGCUCGUAAAUAAAAAAGUUCCCCAGAUUAGGCCUCCGGUAUAAAACAAGUAUAGUGAGUAAGAAACUUAAUUUUAUGGACCCCGCUCUAGUGGCGGUGUGUUGGUUGAUAGCCAAUGUUAAGUUUUUAAAACAUAGUGUUUUAUCUGUGCUUGUGCUCCCAACACACAGUAGGGGGGAGCGAAACUAGCUGCGGAGCUGCUGCAGCGAGCAUGGAGACUUCUCAAGUCUCACCCAAUUUUUCUGGCUCUUCAGGAGCCGUUUAAAAGUAAAAGGCUUAAGGUAAAAAGAAACACUAUAGAGAGAUUUCUUAGUGAAUUACUACACCUUGAUUCGCGAUCUCUGGGAAUCUCACGAUGGACAGCUGAGAUAAGCUAAAAAAAAAAGAUUUAAAUUUUGCUUGAGAACAAAGAAUCUUAAAGGUGGAGUUUCAGCCGGUAUGGCACUUAGUGCGUAGCUGCCUAAAAGAUCAGAAAUGCUGUCAAUAGGCUAUAAAAAAAGGGGCAGGCUGUGUUAAAAAUGCUACAUAAAGAAUAAUCUAAAAAGGCUGAGAGUGAGGUGGGGGAGGACUCUAAGGAAAACAAGAACAAAAAAGGAAUUUCUGCUUUUAGUGACCAGACCUUCAACUCUUUUGCUCACAGAAAGAGGGUGCUCAUUAAGAGAAGUUCUUUAAGGAGCCUGCCUUAUCUGCUGGCCCUAUUCCAAGAGAGUAGCCAGUCUCCAGCAUUAAAUUACUUUUCUCACUGGUCAUCAUUAGCAUGGAGAAUGCCUUUGAUCCUAUCCCCACAGCAGCCAGUUCCUGCCCCUGUGGUCGAAAUGUCCCAGGUUGGGGGACAGAGAAGCCCCUAAAAUAGUUUCAAAGAAUCUGCAACAAACUGUAAAGAACUUUGUUUUGUUUUGCCAGUUUAAAUUUAGAAUUCAGGCUUUGGCUGUGGCCGAGGUCAGGAUUAAUGUUUUCGUUUCCAUGGGCCCUUAGCCCACUGAGACAGUUUGGUAAAGGACUACUACUACAGUCCUGAUAUUCAGAGACAUGGAGAGAGCUAUAGUUUUUUUUUAUUAAAGGUUGGUACUAUAGUAUUAACAAUCUCUUUAUUAGAUAUAAGAGACAAGAAGCCCCAGGUGAACUGGUUACAAUUCUUUUGUCAGCUGCUUAGUAUCUAACACUCAGGUUCUAACCGUCUCUCCAUCCUUUUGUUAUUAGUUGUUACUGGAAGCCUAGUGCCAUUUAGAGGAUGGGUCUCUUGAGCGAUAAAGCCACUGAGCUGGCACUAAAGGAAGGUACUCCUUAAGGGAAAAUCUAAGUCCAGAGAGACAACCGGUAACAGAUAGACUGCCCCUCUGCUCAUUUUUCUGUUUCACAGACACAAAGUUUUUUUGUCCCAAGAAAGCCUCCUGGCUUAGCUGUGUGACUAAAUGCUAUUUGCCCUCUUCAGUGGACCUCUAUUCUCAAGAUUCUCUUGUUUUCUCACCAUCCCAUUUGAGAUGCUUGUUAGUAACUGUUACAGGUCUUCUUUACCACCGAGGAAAGACAAAAUCCUACUAGAGGCCAGAAAAAGUGUUCCAGAGAUGGAUGGAAGGCCCUCACUUCUGCCUGCUCUUUUCAGACGCCUAAAGGUAGGGAGUGCCAGGUCUGCCGCCAGGCUCCAAGGGUGGGUCUCUGAGGGGCUAAAAAAUGCCCCACCAAUCUGGCUAAGAUAAAGAAAGGAUAUGAAGAAAAAGUUACAAAAAUUUAAAGGGUUAAGUUAAGUUGCUGAGAGUUAGUACAAGUUACAGAGAAAGAGGUAAAAAGAACAGAAAGCUAAAAAAAAAGAGACAAAAAGAAGAGGAAGUUAGAGAGAUAAAGAGAGAUAAAAGACGAGAGAGGAACAUAUACUGGCCACAGUAGUUAGGGAACCUAGGAAGAUAGUACCUGGCAACAGAAGAGAAUUCCUGACUAAAGAUCAGUGUGCCUAAUACGAAGAAAAAGGAUAUUGGGUCAGGGACUGCCCCAGAAAGAACAAGAGGGGACACUGGAGAGCCUCUUGGUGCUGGCUAUACACAGAGAUGGAAGGGAAGCCCGCCCAGUUGUUUUGUGGAUACAGGGACCCAAUGCUCUGUGCUCCUAUGCCCCCCAGUGGGCCAAUAUCCAAAGACCUUGAGUACAAAGAGCUACUGACAACGAACAAUACUUAUGGACUGCCCGAAGAACAGUGGACCUUGGCGUGGGCCGGGUAACCCACUAGUUCAUAGUCAUCCCUGACUGCCCCCAUCCCUUGCUCAUGAGAAAAUUGCUCUCCAAAUUGGCUUGCGUGGGCUAAAAUGGCUAGAUGAGGCUAUGUAUAUACAUAUCUAUAGACUGUGUAUGUGGAGCUUAAGACCUGUCUCAGUGCACCAGUAACUGAUGCUGGGAGAUGAAUGGCUUAGUGCUUUUCUGCUUGGAACACAUCACUCCUGCCAGCCGGGAACUAACAAUUAUCACCCAAUCCAGGACUUAAACUGUGAUAGAGUGGCUGAUAGAGUGUCCAAAGAUGGGACCACUGGUCAGCUGCCAUGGACUAGAUUCUCCACCGGUUGGGGACAAUCUGGUCACCUUGCUGCCCAAUCCGGACCUGGAGCCACCACAGCACGAGUGUCAAACACUGACAGAAGCACAUGGGUGGAGGAAAGACCUCUGUGACUGGCUGAUUGACCCCUGCUGAAAGCCGAGGACCUUGUCCACAGACGGGAACAGUUCUCUUCAUGAAUGAAGAUACCUUUCCAGGGAUAGAUAGAAGCUUUCCUCACCAAACGAGAGACGGCCUCUACAAUCAUCAAGAAGAUACUGGAAAAAAUCUUCCCCAGGUCUGGAAUGCCCAAGGUAAUCUGGUCUGACAGCGGCCCUACUUUCGUUGCCAAGGUAAGCCAGGGUGUGGCCAAGUAUUUAGAGGUCGAUUAGAAAUUACAUUAUAUUUACAGACCUCAAAGUUCAGGACAGGUAGAGUAAAUAAAUAAAAUUUUAAAAGAGAUCCUGAACAGAUUGACCAUGGAGACUGGCACAGACUGGGUGACACUCCUUCCCUCUUGCUCUCUUCAGAGCAAGAAAUACCCCUUCCAGAUUCAGCCUUAUCCCCUUUGAGAUCUUAUAUGGGGCCUCAGCUCCCCUGACUGUAUUAGAUGAUGUUACUGAACCAACAUGUCAUAGUAAUAAUGAUUUGUGUGCCAGGCUAAAAGACCUACAGGUGAUACAGAAAGAAAUCUGCUCACAGCUGACAGCAGCCUAUGCCCCGGAGACCCCUGAGACAUCCCAUCAGUUCCAGGUCGGAAGCAGCUACACUGAGCCCAGACACUCGAGCCUCGCUGGAAAGGACCGUACCUGGUGCUGCUGACCACCCUGACAGCCGUCAAUUCUCAGCCCUCACCAGCCAUGUACUUACUAGCUGUUAGGGCUGAGAGCUGGGACCUAGAGGGAAAUUCAGUCAUGUUUGUCCUGGGUUCCAUCGAGAUAGGUGUGGGGAUAGGCUUGAUUUCUAUUACAAAUGAUGUAACAUUACAUAUGUUAGUACUCCUAACACUUCUUGGGAUUGUGCCUCAGGGAUCACAACCUAUAUAAGUUUAGAAGUUCUGAAAGACAGUCAUGACCUUGGUGUAUAGGUUCAGAUAGUGUCCAGAUUAGAAUCCUGAUGCUAAAGACUUUUUAGCUGACCUCCAAAAAUACCUAACCUCCCUCUCAGAGGUAGUCCUUCAAAAUAAAAAAAGAUUAGACCUGAUAUUCCUUAAAGAAGGAGCCUGUGUGCUACACUGAAAGAAUGUUGCUUCUAUACAGACCAUUCAGGAGUAAUUAAAGACUCCAUAAAUAAACUUAGAAAAAGGUUAGACAAAAGACAGACAGAAAAACACAUCAGAGAUGGUUCGAGAGCUAGUUUAGUAGAUCUCCCUGGAUGACUACCCUACACUCUGCUACAGCUGGGCCAUUAUUAAUAAUUUUCUUGGUUUUAGUUUUUGGCUCCUGCGUGACAAACAGGUUAAUUGCUUUUGUUAAAAAUUGAGUGGGUGCUGUGCGGUUGAUGGUUGUGAGACAACAGUACCAGUCAGUUAAGACAACUGGUGAGACCAAAUAAGACUUGAUAUCAAAAUUCUAAGAUUAGAAUUAUUUAAUAGGAGAAGACGGGAAUGAAAAGAAAAUUAUACGAAUUCUAGGUUUAUAAAUAUAAAAAUUAAAAAAAAAAUAAACCCCAAAAGGCCACAGACCCAGGGCUAAGCCCUACAGCCAAGACUAGCAGGCCAUAAAGAUAAAGGAGCACAGGAAACACUGUUCAGGCAGGACUGACAAGCCAUAAAGAAAAGGAAUGCAGGAUCCAGCUCAGGCUAUCGAGGACUGAGCCAUAAACCAUCCACAGACAUCCCCCCAGCUUACUCAGAGUCAUACUUUAACCAGAUGUCCUCCAGACCCUGAUAAGCCCCUACUUGUGCUUUUCAGCCAUUGUGUCCUACAGAGAGCAUUCCAGGAAACCGGACAGCCCAAGCCUAACCAGAGGUGUUUCAAAUACAAAUGCUCCAUCAGUUUUGACAAACGUUUAAAAAUAAUGAGGACCUGAAGACCCUACCCUUCUCCUGAUUUAGUAGCUCUGUUCCAGGAACCAGGGGGCCAUAAAACCUUCUGGCGUCCCCUUAUCUCCUGGAGCCAUAAAACAAUCCUGUAACUUGUGGUGCAUUCCC